AACAUUUUCAUAAUAAUAAUAACACAUUUCCAUUAUCCCCCCUAACGAACCAAGACAAUGGACGAGCCGACUUCCGGUUGCUUCGCGCCGAUGCAGCCACACACAUCGGUCCUGGCACUAUUUAUCCAGGCCGCUGGGUGGCGCUCGGGUUCGGUCGAUCGAUGGUGGAGAAGCAACGCGAAAGGCUGGCAACACAGACGCUGACAAACACCGAACACAGGUAUGUAUUAACAUAACAUGACGAAACAUAAAACAUAGAAACAGAAACAAACACAACUCAGGUAUGUAUGCAUGUUGUUAUGCGCAGCAGGGAUUCUGAAGGGGAUGGAAAUGGAGUGGCUAUGUUUGCGUGUAUGAUGACCAGCGUGCAAAUGGCGUGCGUGUGUACCCACAAUGCCCCAGCAGGGAACGGAGGAUGAGGAAUCCAAGUAGAAUGGAGCAUGGAGACAGUGGAGCACAGGGGUACGUGGAGUGGAUAGAUGGAGCGGCUAACAGUAAUAGCAGGCAGAAGAUGAGAGAAUCUUCUUUGUGAGAGCAGCCACUUGUGUCACUGUGUGCUGGGGACUGUGAUUCCUCAGAAGGCCAAGCACCACGUUCCUCUUCAGGCAGUACAGAGCCCCAGCUGAUGCUCCUGGCCCCCAGGUGAACUGUGUAAAAGCCCGGUCCCUUUUCUUCCCUUCUAUACCUCUCUAUCCGUGUUCAUCCUCCCUUGUGUACAGAUUACCUUCAAAAUCAACAACAGCUCCAGCUAGCUUCAAAGUGUCCUUUUUGUCUGUGUUGCAUAUGAUGCUUGUUGUUUGAAGUUUUAAAUGUCUUGUCAUUUACGAUAGAAUGCAAAUGUACUGAAGUGCCAGACUAGACAUGCAUGUGUGGGUGAUUUCUUAUGCAACAUGUCCAUCUGAGACAGUCUUGAUUUAUUAAUGUUUUGAUAUGUGGAAACACUCACUUUAUUUCAUGAUGAUAUUUUUUUGAUACAUGAAGGUAUCUAAAUUAAAAAAAACUGAAGACAACAGUAAUUGAACACUAUA